rnacentral:rRNA from 1 species
UACGUAGGGUGCAAGCGUUGUCCGGAAUUAUUGGGCGUAAAGAGCUCGUAGGCGGUUUGUCGCGUCUGCUGUGAAAACUCGGGGCUUAACCCCGGGCCUGCAGUGGGUACGGGCAGACUAGGGUGCGGUAGGGGAGACUGGAAUUCCUGGUGUAGCGGUGAAAUGCGCAGAUAUCAGGAGGAACACCGGUGGCGAAGGCGGGUCUCUGGGCCGUAACUGACACUGAGGCACGAAAGCGUGGGGAUCAAACAGG